rnacentral:rRNA from 1 species
ACUCAAAUGAAUUGACGGGGGCCCGCACAAGCGGUGGAGCAUGUGGUUUAAUUCGAUGCAACGCGAAGAACCUUACCUGGGUUAGAUAACGGAAGACAAGGGUAGAGAUAUCCUCUUGUAGCAAUACACUUCCGGUUCAGGUGCUGCAUGGCUGUCGUCAGCUCGUAUCGUGAGAUGUCGGGUUAAGUCCCUUAACGAGCGCAACCCCUAUCCUUAGUUGCCACCAUUCAGUUGGGCACUCUAUGGAGACCGCCGGCGUUAAGCCGGAGGAAGGCGGGGAUGACGUCAAGUCCUCAUGGCCCUUAUGUCCAGGGCUACACACGUGCUACAAUGGCCGGUACAGAGGGUUGCCAACCCGCGAGGGGGAGCUAAUCUCAGAAAGCCGGUCUCAGUUCGGAUUGAAGUCUGCAACUCGACUUCAUGAAGCUGGAAUCGCUAGUAAUCGCGGAUCAGAACGCCGCGGUGAAUACGUUCCCGGGCCUUGUACACACCGCCCGU